UAGAGGGAUGAAAUCAUGCUCCUCCGGCACGGGGUCUGGGAGCCAGCCAGGAGGGCUGGGCGGGCCGGGGCAGCACCAGACCCUCGGCCCUGCUUCCCCACAGGCCAGCCAUGAUGCGUGGGGAAUCUGAGUCUGGCCCUCAGCACAGCCAUGUGGAAGAAGAGGCAUGCAGGGAGAGAGCACCAUAAACAAGCCGGGGCUGGCGGGAGUGUGCCGCUGACCGAGGGGAGUGUGCUGCAGGUCUCUGGCAUUGCCCUUCCCUGACUCCUGAGGGUUCCAUGAAGCAGGGCCUUGCAGGGUGUCCCAGCCAGAUGUCAGACCUGGGGGCAGGUGAGGGGCGGUCACUGGAUGCACAGGAGCACCACGGAGGCAUGGGGUAGGGAGGGACUUGUGAGGACACCGCUCUGUGGAAAUCUCAUUUGCUUAGACUGCAACCUGGCCCUCUGGCUCAGGUGACCUGGCCUCUUGCUGGCCAGGCCGCCGUGAUCUUCAGGAGUAGAGGUCUGACACGCACCUGGAAGGCGGACUCUCUUGGCGGUGGCUCUGGACUUUGGGCCCUCCGGGUGCAAUCUGUCUUCCGUCCAGGGUGCCUGAACUCACUCUCCCUGGCAGUGCUCCGGGCAGGACAGAUGUGGCCGCCUCUCCUGCUGCCCAGAUCACAUUCCUGGCCCUGGAUUAAAGCAGUUUUGCAACAACAGAGUGGCCUGUACUCCAACCACCCUUGCACAGCCCAGAGGAGGACAUCUGGUAACAGGGCUGCCUUCUCCUGUGGAAUGGCCGACGCAGUCUGAGACGUUCCCUGGGCAACGUCUCCACAGCACAUGCCUGGACUUUGAAGAUUCUGGGGAGUUUGAGACACUGCAGAAGAUAAGACCGCCCAUCUCCUUCUCCUCCAGCUCUGUCCUGCUUCCAUGUGGGGCUCUGAGGGUUGGAAAGGGGUAGGGAGGGCAGUGUGGGCAGAAAAGCCAGCAGCCCCGCUCUGGAGAAUUUAUGUACUUUGGCAGGAGGGGAAAACAUGAGGGGAGUUCCUGCCUGCUGCCAACCCUUAAGUGCCACUGCUCUGGGGACCCUGCACUGGCUGGGAGGAGGUCAGCGGAGGGGCGGCACCAGGCCGUGAGAGAGGCCAGGCCGGCACUCCGGAGCCCUGCUGGGUGUGUGGCUGUGCCCGAGGGAGCCACACCUGUGGCAGGGGCUCUGGUCCCUCAGGCUCUGCACUGACUCCAAGAAAACUUUGCUCACCUUUCCUGGCUUCUCUCUCUGAUUUCUCUGACUGCACAGCCCCAGGAUCCUGCUUCUUCUAGAAGUGUUUCCUGUGUGGAUGAGGGUUACGCGCUCCAGCACAGAUAGCCUUGACCCAUGGCGGGCUCUGCCCCACGCCUGAGCUCCGCACAGGGGUCUGUGGGUGGUGGGGUGUGGGCUGACUGCCUCCCUUCUGGCUCUUUUGGUCCAGGACCCAGCAAGGGAAUGCAGAGGGAGAACUGUCCUCCCAGACUCCCUCCAGGGAGAUUCCCCAGAGCAGGCCUGGGGCCCAGACUCCCUCCAGGGAGACUCCCCAGAGCAGGACUGGGGCUCCGGGGGGAGGGCAGCGUGUGUGCAGUGCCAGGUCGGUGCAGGCCUCCACCAAAGAGUGCUUUCACCCCAGCCCGCCCCUCUGAGCCCCACCUUCUCGCUCCUGGGCCCCCAGAUGGCUGGUUGGGGAGUGAGUCUUGGGCCAGACUCCCUAGAUGACCUGUGAGUGCUGCAGUGUGUGGCCUCAACCUCCGACCUCCAUCCUGUCCUGGUGAUCAGGCAGCCUUGCUGUCCUUUCUCCAUGGACCGUCUGGGGUGCAUCCCUGGGCGCAGGCCAGGGCUUUGUCCAGCAGAGGGACUGGACGCGGCCUGUGGCCCACCUGAGGAGGCUGUGGCUCAGAGACAUCCACCGUCAUAGAUUAGAAGCUUGUUUUUGCUGGUCCGAAAUGGAAUGGUUCUCUUGUAGACUUCAGAAAGCCUGGGAAAUAGAGAAACCAAACACUUGGACCCCUCCAGGCAGCCUCUGCUCCCCUCCCCCCUCCCGCCCCCUCCCUCUCCCUCCCACGAAU